rnacentral:rRNA from 1 species
ACCUUCGGGUGUGACUGCGUACCUUUUGUAUAAUGGGUCAGCGACUUAUAUUCUGUAGCAAGGUUAACCGUAUAGGGGAGCCGCAGGGAAACCGAGUCUUAACUGGGCGUUAAGUUGCAGGGUAUAGACCCGAAACCCGGUGAUCUAGCCAUGGGCAGGUUGAAGGUUGGGUAACACUAACUGGAGGACCGAACCGACUAAUGUUGAAAAAUUAGCGGAUGACUUGUGGCUGGGGGUGAAAGGCCAAUCAAACCGGGAGAUAGCUGGUUCUCCCCGAAAGCUAUUUAGGUAGCUGCCUCGUGAAUUCAUCUUCGGGGGUAGAGCACUGUUUCGGCUAGGGGGUCAUCCCGACUUACCAACCGAUGCAACUACGAAUACCGAAGAAUGUUAUCACGGGAGACACACGGCGGGUGCUAACGUCCGUCGUGAAGAGGGAAACAACCCAGACCGCCAGCUAAGGUCCAAAGUCAUGGUUAAGUGGGAAACGAUGUGGGAAGGCACAGACAGCCAGGAUGUUGGCUUAGAAGCAGCCAUCAUUUAAAGAAAGCGUAAUAGCUCAC